rnacentral:rRNA from 1 species
UGCCCUAGUAACGGCGAGUGAAGCGGCAACAGCUCAAAUUUGAAAUCUGGCUCUCGGGCCCGAGUUGUAAUUUGUAGAGGAUGCUUUUGAUGCGGUGCCUUCCGAGUUCCCUGGAACGGGACGCCAUAGAGGGUGAGAGCCCCGUCUGGUUGGAUGCCAAAUCUCUGUAAAGCUCCUUCAACGAGUCGAGUAGUUUGGGAAUGCUGCUCUAAAUGGGAGGUAUAUGUCUUCUAAAGCUAAAUACCGGCCAGAGACCGAUAGCGCACAAGUAGAGUGAUCGAAAGAUGAAAAGCACUUUGAAAAGAGAGUUAAAAAGUACGUGAAAUUGUUGAAAGGGAAGCGUUUAUGACCAGACUUGGGCUUGUUUAAUCAUCCGGGCUUCUGCCCGGUGCACUUGUUCAGCUCAGGCCAGCAUCAGUUUUCCCCGGGGGAUAAAGGCGGCGGGAAUGUGGCUCUCUUCGGGGAGUGUUAUAGCCCACCGUGUAAUACCCUGGGGGGGACUGAGGUUCGCGCAUCUGCAAGGAUGCUGGCGUAAUGGUCAUCAACGACCCGUCUUGAAACACGGACCAAGGAGUCGUCUUCGUAUGCGAGUGUUCGGGUGUCAAACCCCUACGCGUAAUGAAAGUGAACGCAGGUGAGAGCUUCGGCGCAUCAUCGACCGAUCCUGAUGUUCUCGGAUGGAUUUGAGUAAGAGCAUACGGGGCCGGACCCGAAAGAAGGUGAACUAUGCCUGUAUAGGGUGAAGCCAGAGGAAACUCUGGUGGAGGCUCGCAGCGGUUCUGACGUGCAAAUCGAUCGUCAAAUAUGGGCAU